UUUUAUGCACACAUAAAAGAUUUUAUGUCAUUGUACGAUUUCUUAAUUGUUGAACAUUAUAUUGGUCCAAGCCUUAUAUUUAAUUACUUGUGUAUAACCUCAGUGUGGGGUCACAUGGGCUCUUUUAACCAAUCAAAUUCAGUGUUGGCCAUUGUGGCCCUUUGUAUCCUUUUAGACUAACGAGGAAUCCAAUAUGGUCGAAAUUAACAAUUACGCUCUUAAGCGAUACUUCCAAGGAUUAAUUUUAAUAGGAUAUGAUGCCGUUUCAUUCCGUUUAUGUGAAGGAUUAUCUCUCGUUGUACGAAGACUUACACCAAUGGUGUUAUCCCGUGUGAUACUAAGUUUAAAGGGCAGUUGAACGAGUACACAUGCUUAUCACUAUCAGUGCCGUGUGCAGAAAACUUUGCGACGUAUACGCAGUCUACCGUGAAAGGUUUCCAAGAUGGCGGCGCCCACAGCGUAAUUAGCGCAUAUCGCCAGUCACUGUUUUUAUGCUGAUCAGCUACACAGUUGUCGCUGCCCUAUAUCAGUCAUACUGAUUCAGUUCAGAUAAGUAUUCAAAUAUCGUGUUAACAUUUGUGCCUGACUUUAAGUUCUGGCUGUUUAAAUUAUUAUUUUUUCUGCCUUUUUAAGAAUGAUGAUCAAUUCGGGUCAGCUCUAUAUAUCUUGUAUAUUUAUUAUUGUCUUAUUUAAUUUAAAGUUCAGCCUGGGCUUAUACUUUAUGAAUAUUUACGACACAUUUGUAUUGUCAGUUUAGCUGGGUUUCCCACUGUCACAUUAACAGAUGUCUUCACGUUUUUAUGAAAUAAACAAUGAAACACCCUUUCAUUUUAGUCUAUAUUACCAUACCUCAUUUAUAUGGUCAACGUGUGUAUUUUAAAAUUCUUGUGAUGUGUUUUGUUGUGCUAUUGUUGUUCAUGUUUUCUUUAUGGCAAUUAUUUGGUCGUAAUAUUUUCAUUAACAUAUCCUUGUUAAGUCUGUAACUACUAAAAACUAUAAGUAAUUUUAAUAUUCUUAAAAGCUUCAUAUUCAUAUAUAUAUAUAUAUAUAUAUCAAUCUUAUUUGUAUGUGGUGUGGUGUGUCUUAUAGUCACAAUGUAAUUUUAACCUUCAAGUUUUGUCUUGUAGUCACAUCUGGUCAGUCUAUUUGUGACUUGUAGUCACAAUAGUUCACAUAAGGUUAUACCCAAGGAGUGUCCGUAAAGGUGACCGGUAGCUGCAGAAUCCCCCAGCCCGAGCCAGAGAACAGAAAUAUCCUUUCACGUAUCCUUCAGUUAAUGAAAAAGCGUGUCUUUAUGAUGCCAAAAACUUGCUGAAGUUUCUUUCUACAUUUUUAUUUAUCAAACUAUUUUCCAUUAUUAUACUUUCAUUAAUGCUUCAUAAGUGUAAUAUCUAUCAAUUUUAUUUUUUUUUAUAUCAAUUUUAUGUACAGGUAUAUGUUUUGUAAACACAUUUUGAUUUAUAUAAUUAUAUACAUAGGUGUUUCAUCAAAUAAGCAAGUUUCAGGUUUCAAGUAUUUGUGCCAUGCCUACCUCUCAACACCGCAAUACAAAGGACCUGUCCGCUGGCUGGCACUUCCUGUACAAGUACUACAAAGGGGCGAUAAGGCACGUUCCCAGCCCUUCCUUUGAACACUACAUUAACCUGCCUACCUCUCAACACCCCAAUACAGAGGACCUGUCCGCUGGCUGGCACUUCCUGUACAAGUACUACAAUGGGACGAUAAGGCACGUUUUCAGCCCUUCCUAUCGAACACUACAUUAAACCACGAAGGACCAGAACGAACAAUUACGGCUAGAAACAGGAAGACUUCACUCUUCAGAACAUUGUGUUUUAUCUAGUGAUCUUCAGUUUUUUAGUUUUAUAUGUCAUACUUAUACAUUUUUAAUGUUAUGUCCGAUUAUAGUUAUCAGCUCAGGCUGAUACUAAUGGUUUAGUUCUCUCCGAAGUAAGUAUGUAUAUGCCUGAUUAAAAUUUUUUCAGUUUAGACUGAUAUUGAUGUUAUAGUUCUCUACGAAGGAACUAUUUUUAUGCAGGCCUUGAUUAUAUUUUUCAAUAUUCGGCCUGAUUUUGCUUAUACCGUUCAGGCUGAUAUUGUUGUUAUAGUUCUCUACGCAGGAACUAUGUUUAUGAAGGCCUUGCUUAUUCAUUUUUCAAUAUUUGGCCUGAUUUUGCUUAUACCGUUCAGGCUGAUAUUGUUAUUAUAGUUCUCUACGCAGAACUAUGUUUAUGCAGGCCUUGCUUAUUUAUUUUUCAAUAUUUGGCCUGAUUUUGCUUAUACCGUUCAGGCUGAUAUUGUUAUUAUAGUUCUCUACGCAGAACAAUAUUAUAGUUCUCUACGCAGAACUAUGUUUAUGCAGGCCUUGCUUUUAUAUUUUCCAUUAUUCAGCCUGAUUUUAGUUAUACCGUUCAGGCUGAUAUGGAUGUUAUAGUUCUCUACGCAGAACUAUUUUUAUGCAGGCCUUGCUUAUUAUUAUUUUCCAAUAUUCAGCCUGAGUUUAGUUGGACCGUUCAGGCCGAUAUUGAUAUUUUAGUUCUCUACGCAGAACUAUGUUUAUGCAGGCCUUGCUUAUUAUUAUUUUCCAAUAUUCAGCCUGAUUUUAGUUGGACUGUUCAGGCCGAUAUUGAUAUCUUAGUUCUCUACGAAGGAACUAUGUUUAUGCAGGCUUUGCGUAUUAUAUUUUACAAUAUUCAGCCUGAUUUUAGUUGGACCGUUCAGGCCGAUAUUGAGACUUUAGUUCUCUACGAAGGAAUUAUAUUUAUUCAGGCUGUGCAUAUAUUUCUCUAUAUUCAAACUGAUUUUCAGUAUUCCAUUCAGGCUGAUAUUGAUGUUAUGGUUCUCUACGAAGGAACUAUGUUUUAUGCAACCCUUGCUUAUAUUUUUCAGUAUUCUUCCUGAUUUUAGUUAUUCCGUUCAGGACGAUAUUGAGGAUAUAGUUCUCUACGAAGGAACUAAAUUUAUGCAUGAUUUUAGUUAUUCAGUUCAGUCCAUGCUUAUAUUUUUCAAUAUUCUGCAGGAUUUUAGUUAUUCAGUUUAGGCUGAUAUUGAUACUAUAGUUCUCUACGAAGGAGCUAUUUUACCUAAGUUGGGUACCAGAUCAGGUCAUGCUUGUACUUCUUACAUGUUCCGUCUGAUUCAGAUAUCUGGACAUGCCAUGCAUAUAUUUAUCUUUUAAUUUCUGCCCAGUCAGGCAUCGUUGGGGUUUACACUACCCCUCUAACUAAACUUAUUUCUAUUUCUUAUGACCAAAGUUUUUAACUUAUUUUCCCUGUUUUUCUUAUUGGUAUGUGCCAAUUUUACCGUAUAUGCCAAUCUUAACGGGUAGUUAUUCUAACAGUUCUAGUGUCAACACAUCUUUCCCAUUAUAAACCUGUGUGUUGGCGUAUUAUACGAAUAAAAUUGCCUUCUGCCCGAUAAUCUUCAUCUCCCAAAAGAUGCUUCUGGGUCUAAGAUUUUGAAGCUACUGUUGGGCAUAUUAGUUUUUCAUAUCUCUGAGUUAAAGGGAAUGUCGCCCCACAGGGAUCUGCCACAUCCCUAUGUAAAUAAUCAUGCUCCACUAAGUCACACCAAAUAAGAUCAAUACGUUUCCUAGGUUUUGUCCUCGAAAGCCAUUACAUAUAUAUUUUCCAUCAUAAUCCAUUACCCUUUUUACUUUGCUUACUCAUAAGCGAUAAUCGUUAGCCCAGUUCUUUCACGUUUUAAAUCACGGGCUUGUUACCCGAGCUGUUCCAUAUGGUUAUUCCCUCAGAUAUUCCUCUGGAUUAUUGGUAUUUGUUGUAUAUGUCUCUUUAACUGUCUGCCAGUUUACAUCUGCAGCCCAAUUGUUUAUUAAAUUUUGAUUGGUCGCUCUUUUUCAAGUACAUUCCGAAUCUUACUUUUGUCAAGGUUUUUCAUAUUAUGUAUAUAUGUUAACUGACAGUUUAUUGUUCUAAUGGUCUUUUACUCAUUUACUGGUACAUGAACUUCAUGCCAAUGCUGGUUGUCUGUCGGUUCCAAACCACAGCUCCAUAGUUGUACUACACAGUACAUUAUUGCUUUCCCUGUUUAUGUGUUACAAUUAUUAAUUUGCUUUUGUUGUGUUGCUUGACUGUUUAUGUUUAACCAACAGUUUAAUCCCGCAGGUAACCUUUUACCUAUUACCAAGGUCUGUUAUUAAGGCAAUGUUUGUCUUUUUUAUCUCAUUGUCUGAUAGUUUAAGAAUGCAGUUCCAUUGUUUUACUAUAUGAUUGCUUACUCCUGUAUGGGUACAUAUUUUUACUUUUGUUGUUCUGCUGUACAAUCUAUGUUUACCUGAUAGGUAAAGGGUUCAGAUUGUAUUUAAAAUUUUACCAAUACCCUUUAUUCAAGCCAAUAUGUGUUAAAUACUUUUCAUAUGUUGUCUGAUGGUUAAGGGCAGCCCCUACAUUGUUUUACAAUGGGUUCAUGAUAUCAUACUACUUAACCACUACAUUUUAAUAUUUUGCUUCGUCAGGUUCUUGUACAUUUCAGGUUAAUCUUAUAGUUUAAAGCUGCACAUUCAUUUUCACCUCUUAACAGGUACCUGUACUUAGUCUUAAUUCCAAAAUCUGUUGUAUACAUCUGUUUGGUCAUCUUGUUGGUUUCAGGCCGCAGCUCCAUUGUAUAACAUAUUAUUGUUUACUUUCUUAUCGAUACAGGUAAUUUUUCACCUAUAACAAAGGCCAGUAAUUAGGGCCAUAUCUGUUGUAUAUAUCUCCUAUGCAUGAUGGUUUAGGGCCACAGAUCCAUUGUUUUCCUAUAUUAUUGCCUACUUUUUACCGUUACAUCUUUUUUAUAUUUAUUUUCGUUGCUUUGCUUUACAAUUUAUGUUAACCUGACAGUUUAAGGCUGCAGGUAAUUUUUCAUUUAUUAAUAAGGCUGCUGUUUAAGGCAAGUAUCUGUUGCUUAUAUCUCCUAUGUUGUCUGGCGGUUUAGUGCUCGGAUCGGGGAUUAUACUAUAUUAUUGAUUGCCUACUCUUUUACCGGUACGUUGUCUUAUUUUAUGGUGUGUUGCUUUGCCGUACAAUUUAUGUUUACCUGACAGUUUUAGGCUGCAAGCAAACGUUUCACCUUUUAACAAGGCUGUUUAUUAAAGCCAUUAUUUGUUGGAUAUAUCCCCUAUGUUGUAUGACAGUUUAAGGCCGCAGAUACAUGUUGUUUGUUUUUUUCUUCAUGAUUGCUUACUCCUUUAAGUGGGCAUCUUUACUUUUGUUGUUUUGCUGUAAAAGUUACGUUUCCCUGACAGUUAAAGGCUGCAGGUAGUCUUUCACCAGUUUUACUAGCGCUUUUACUUUAUACAAAUAUUGGUUGUUUUAUGUCUGACUGGUUAAGGUCGCAGCUCCAAUUAUUUACAUAUAGGUCUAAGUCAAUUUUGUUGACAAUUAGGUUAAGCAGUUCUUAUUAACACUGCUUUUUUCUGGCAGUGUUUUUCUUAUGGAGCAUACACAUAUAAUUAAGUUAUGCUUAUUCUAGUGAUCGUUGAACACCAAUCCUAUUGUUUUCAAUUAAUUUACUUCACUAGGUUUUAUAAUUUGUUAUUAAUUAGCAGAUGGAUGAUUUAAGCCUAGGGGCUCUUAACAAAUCAAAGCUUAUAAUGCUUAUUUGUCCUUAAUUUUCACAUAUCUGACCUUAAUCGUAAUGCUACGUUUAUAUUCAUUCAGGAGCAACUACCCCCUUUUCGAAUUGCGGUCCUCUCCCGUACUUCAUGGGCGGCGGGGUUCCCGCUCCGGUCCCCUUUGUGGCGUGUUUUUACCACCCAUUAUGCCUUUCUGGAAAGAAUCUGUUCUAUUUUUAUCUUUUUUAUGGCAUUUUAUAAUAAAUGCCCGUUUUCAAUCAACAAUAUUGUGUUUGUUCUUUCCUUCAAGUCAUACGAGUCCGUCCGGUCUAUGACCUUUUCAUUACCACGAGGACAAUACAUAAAUAAUAUUUUAUGCACACAUAAAAGAUUUUAUGUCAUUGUACGAUUUCUUAAUUGUUGAACAUUAUAUUGGUCCAAGCCUUAUAUUUAAUUACUUGUGUAUAACCUCAGUGUGGGGUCACAUGGGCUCUUUUAACCAAUCAAAUUCAGUGUUGGCCAUUGUGGCCCUUUGUAUCCUUUUAGACUAACGAGGAAUCCAAUAUGGUCGAAAUUAACAACCCACCUCCACCCCUUCUCCGCCAUAAGGUUUUGACUCCCGUACUAUGUAUGUUUUUACCUGUGUGUAAAACACAUUUGUUUCUUAUUUUACUGUUAUACGCAUCAAAUAUUUUUCUUUUAUACUUAUUUUGGGCGUGUUUUUCCCGCCGUCAUCACAUUCAAAUUCUUGUUUUUGUAUGUGUAUAUACGCGUGGCGUGUUUUUACCACCCAUUAUGCCUUUCUGGAAAGAAUCUGUUCUAUUUUUAUCUUUUUUAUGGCAUUUUAUAAUAAAUGCCCGUUUUCAAUCAACAA